rnacentral:rRNA from 13 species
GCGCAUGUCAUCAGCGUGCGUUGAUUACGUCCCUCCCCUUUGUACACACCGCCCGUCGCUACUACCGAUUGAAUGGCUUAGUGAGGCCUCCGGAUUGGCGCCAGGAGCUUAGCGAUAGGCACCUGGCAUCGAGAAGCUGGUCAAACUUGGUCAUUUAGAGGAAGUAAAAGUCGUAACAAGGUAUCCGUAGGUGAACCUGCGGAUGGAUCUU